rnacentral:misc_RNA from 1 species
CCUUAACUGUAGCGGGCUUGUUGGCUCGUCCAGCAGGCUCCAGCUGCACCCACCCUGAUUUUGCGUACCAUUGUUUCCUUGGCAGGGCAACUUGCCAACAGGACCACUUUAAACCCCUUUUCAAUGCAGUUAGUCAGAUGUAUAAACAAUGACUUAA